rnacentral:rRNA from 1 species
AUUCCAGCUCCAAUAGCGUAUAUUAAAGUUGUUGCAGUUAAAAAGCUCGUAGUUGGAUUUCGGAACCGGCCGAUUGGUCCGUCCUCUGGAUCGUGUACUGAUCGGUCUGUUCUUCUUCGCGAAGACCGCGUGUGCCCUUAACUGGGUGGGCGCGGGAUUCGCGACGUUUACUUUGAAAAAAUUAGAGUGUUCAAAGCAGGCAGUCGCUUGAAUAUCUCAGCAUGGAAUAAUAGAAUAGGACUUUGGUCUUAUUUUGUUGGUUUCCGAGACCGAAGUAAUGAUUAAUAGGGACAGUUGGGGGUAUUCAUAUUUACAUGUCAGAGGUGAAAUUCUUGGAUUUUGGAAAGAUGAACUACUGCGAAGGCAUUUACCAAGGAUAUUUUCAUUA